UACGGAGGGUGCGAGCGUUGUCCGGAAUCAUUGGGCGUAAAGGGCGCGUAGGUGGCGGGACAAGCGUGCGGUGAAAGCUCGGGGCUCAACCCCGCGUCGGCCGUGCGAACUGUUUUGCUUGAGCACUGUAGAGGCAGGCGGAAUUCCGGGUGUAGCGGUGGAAUGCGUAGAGAUCCGGAAGAACACCGGUGGCGAAGGCGGCCUGCUGGGCAGUUUUGCUGACACUGAGGCGCGACAGCGUGGGGAGCAAACAGG
rnacentral:rRNA from 1 species